rnacentral:snoRNA from 1 species
GUGAAAUGAUGAUGAAGUUUAUCCAUUCUCUGAGUGCUGCUGCACUGCCUUCCCUGCAGCACCUAGAUUCCUGUUCUAGGGUCUCUGUGCUGGGUAGCCUCCAAACAUCCUCCAGCCUUUCAGUGUUCUGCUGUGGGCUACUGGAGGGUUUGGCUGGCUGCCUGCAGGAGCGGGACAGAGCCAGCAGGGCUGGAGCCCCUUUCCAUGGGGGCUCCAUCUCAACCAAGACGAGUGAUGCUCUCUGAUCAC